rnacentral:rRNA from 1 species
AACGUAGGAGGCGAGCGUUAUCCGGAUUUACUGGGCGUAAAGCGCGUGUAGGCGGCGAGGAAAGUUGGAUGUGAAAGCUCCUGGCUUAACUGGGAGAGGUCGUUCAAAACUACCUGGCUUGAGAGUGGUAGAGGAAAAUGGAAUUCCGGGUGUAGUGGUGAAAUGCGUAGAUAUCCGGAGGAACACCAGUGGCGAAAGCGGUUUUCUGGACCAUAUCUGACGCUCAGACGCGAAAGCUAGGGUAGCAAACGGGAUUAGAGACCCCGGUAGUCCUAGCCGUAAACGAUGUAGACUUGGCGUUGGUGGGGUAAUAUCCAUCAGUGCCGAAGCAAACGCGAUAAGUCUACCGCCUGGGGACUACGGCCGCAAGGUUAAA